rnacentral:lncRNA from 1 species
AUGUCACUGAAAAACACAACGGAGAGCACCGCAAGCUCAACCACAACUUUAGCAGACAAACCAGACAAAGCAGCCGAGACCGUCCCACGUGUCCCCUGCUCCGAGGGCCAGCAGGAUGGCACAGAGACAGAGGGUCGAGCUAAUCCACACGAGGCGAGGCCUGAUGCCGAGAAGCCUCUGCUGUCUCCUCCCUCUGGACCAGCGUCCCCAGUGGCGUCGUCCUUAUCCGUAUCCACUGUGGUGGACAAGCUUCACCUGAGUGAUAUUGACUGGGGGGCCUGUUCCUUCACAUCCUCCCCAUCCCAGCCGCCGCCAAGCGCUAAGACGGAUCACAGAUCCGCAGGACGCGUGGAUACAGAGGCCUCGGGAUCGGCCUCGGGAUCGGCCUCAGAGUCGUCUGGAUCACCAGUUGGUCCCGGGUCAAACGGAACUGAACUCUUGCCUGAAACUGAACCCGGUUCACUACGGGAAAGAGUGCUCAUGAGGAACGCUAUGAAGUCUGUCAGCUCAUGUAAUGAGCGCACUGAACAUGCCAGUCUGCCAUCGGAUAGAUUAGAGGUCCAGCUCGUUCCACCUAGCAGAUCUGAUUCCGUAGCAGACAUUGGGCAUUCAAAAAGUAAUUCAGGAACUGAGAGCAGUAGGUCAGUUUUACCACAGUCAGAGGCUCAAAGAAAGAAGUCCCCACAUCCUCAGUCAUCUCAGAAAGCAGCCGGUGGCUGCCGCUCUGAAAUCUCAAAGUCAAAAGCAGUCCCAACUUCCACUACCACACACAAAGCAGUCCCAACUUCCACUACCACACAUAAAGCAGUCACAUCUUCCACAACCACACAUAAAGCAGUCACAUCUUCCACAACCACACACAAAGCUAAACAGCCUAAUGUGGGCAGCACAAACCCAUCGGCCAAAUACAGAUUUGUCAAGACAAAUAAAGAGUAUGCACCUGAUCUGGUGCAGCAGACCAAUAGUGUUGAUCCAGGUACCAGAAAGCAGCCCAAAGGCCCCGAUCCUAAACCUCGAAAGCCAAGCGUCUGUGUCAGUUCCGUGUACUCGAGCGACGACAGUGACGUGGAGAACCAUCCCAAGAGAGUGCAGCGGAUGAACAAACCCAGCAAGUCUAAACCCAUUCGCCCCAAAGUUCGCAAUAGUAUCCCUGCAGCCAAGAUAGUUUCUGGUGCCCAUCGACCUUUGACCUUGACUGAUUCCAGAUCAGAUGAGAUUCCAGGCUUAUCACUCCCUGGACUUCUGCCGCGGAACAAAAGCGCUGACGUAGAGGUGAUAGAUUUGUGUCCCUCAACUCCAGCCUCCCCCCUGGGUGCUGCUCAGAGUAAUGACGACUCUGUGAUCUCCAUUGAAAGCCCCCUGCCCCUUGCCCAAAGACUCAAAUUGAAGUUUGUGAAGUGA